ensembl:misc_RNA Y_RNA Y RNA
GGCUGGUCCGAUGGCAGUGGGUUAUCAGAACUUAUUAACAUUAGUGUCACUAAAAGUUGGUAUACCACCCCCCCGCACUGCUAAAUUUGACUGGCUUAAA